UCUAUAUUAGUAUAAAAAGUACAUAUAAUUUCCAAUUAUAAAGUUAGAAUUUUUAAUAUAG
rnacentral:tRNA from 1 species